rnacentral:rRNA from 1 species
UACGGGGGGGGCAAGCGUUGUUCGGAAUUACUGGGCGUAAAGGGCUCGUAGGCGGCCAACUAAGUCAGACGUGAAAUCCCCAGGCCCAACCUGGGAACUGCGUCUGAUACUGGAUGGCUUGAAUCCGGGAGAGGGAUGUGGAAUUCCAGGUGUAGCGGUGAAGUGCGUAGAUAUCUGGAGGAACACCGGUGGCGAAGGCGGCAUCCUGGACCGGUAUUGACGCUGAGGCGCGAAAGCCAGGGGAGCAAACGGG